AGAGUUUGAUCCCGGCUCAGGAUGAACGCUGGCGGCGUGCCUAAUACAUGCAAGUCGAACGAAACUUCUUUAUCACCGAGUGCUUGCACUCACCGAUAAAGAGUUGAGUGGCGAACGGGUGAGUAACACGUGGGCAACCUUCCCAAAAGAGGGGGAUAACACUUGGAAACAGGUGCUAAUACCGCAUAACCAUGGUUACCGCAUGGUAACUAUGUAAAAGGUGGCUAUGCUACCGCUUUUGGAUGGGCCCGCGGCGCAUUAGCUAGUCGGUGAGGUAAAGGCUUACCAAGGCAAUGAUGCGUAGCCGAACUGAGAGGUUGAUCGGCCACAUUGGGACUGAGACACGGCCCAAACUCCUACGGGAGGCAGCAGUAGGGAAUCUUCCACAAUGGGCGAAAGCCUGAUGGAGCAACGCCGCGUGGGUGAAGAAGGUCUUCGGAUCGUAAAACCCUGUUGUUAGAGAAGAAAGUGCGUGAGAGUAACUGUUCACGUUUCGACGGUAUCUAACCAGAAAGCCACGGCUAACUACGUGCCAGCAGCCGCGGUAAUACGUAGGUGGCAAGCGUUAUCCGGAUUUAUUGGGCGUAAAGGGAACGCAGGCGGUCUUUUAAGUCUGAUGUGAAAGCCUUCGGCUUAACCGGAGUAGUGCAUUGGAAACUGGGAGACUUGAGUGCAGAAGAGGAGAGUGGAACUCCAUGUGUAGCGGUGAAAUGCGUAGAUAUAUGGAAGAACACCAGUGGCGAAAGCGGCUCUCUGGUCUGUAACUGACGCUGAGGUUCGAAAGCGUGGGUAGCAAACAGGAUUAGAUACCCUGGUAGUCCACGCCGUAAACGAUGAAUGCUAAGUGUUGGAGGGUUUCCGCCCUUCAGUGCUGCAGCUAACGCAAUAAGCAUUCCGCCUGGGGAGUACGACCGCAAGGUUGAAACUCAAAGGAAUUGACGGGGGCCCGCACAAGCGGUGGAGCAUGUGGUUUAAUUCGAAGCAACGCGAAGAACCUUACCAGGUCUUGACAUCUUCUGACAAUCCUAGAGAUAGGACUUUCCCUUCGGGGACAGAAUGACAGGUGGUGCAUGGUUGUCGUCAGCUUGUGUCGUGAGAUGUUGGGUUAAGUCCCGUAACGAGCGCAACCCUUAUUGUUAGUUGCCAGCAUUAAGUUGGGCACUCUAGCAAGACUGCCGGUGACAAACCGGAGGAAGGUGGGGAUGACGUCAAAUCAUCAUGCCCCUUAUGACCUGGGCUACACACGUGCUACAAUGGACGGUACAACGAGUCGCAAGACCGCGAGGUUUAGCAAAUCUCUUAAAGCCGUUCUCAGUUCGGAUUGUAGGCUGCAACUCGCCUACAUGAAGUCGGAAUCGCUAGUAAUCGCGGAUCAGCAUGCCGCGGUGAAUACGUUCCCGGGCCUUGUACUCACCGCCCGUCA
rnacentral:rRNA from 1 species